rnacentral:rRNA from 1 species
AUUGAACGCUGGCGGCAGGCCUAACACAUGCAAGUCGAACGAGUGGCGGACGGGUGAGUAAUGUAUGGGAAACUGCCCGAUGGAGGGGGAUAACUACUGGAAAAGGUAGCUAAUACCGCAUACCAUCGGAUGUGCCCAGAUGGGAUUAGCGUGUGGGUGAGGUAACGGCUCACCUAGGCGACGAUCCCUAGCUGGUCUGAGAGGAUGACCAGCCACACGGGAAUUUAGCCACGGUCCAGACUCCUACGGGAGGCAGCAGGGGGGAAUAUUGCACAAUUGGCGAAAGCGUGAUGCAUCCAUUCCGCGUGUAUGAAGAAGGCCUUCGGGUUGUAAAGUACUUUCAUCGGGGAGGCGUUACCCGCAGAAGAAGCACCGGCUAACCCCGUGCCAGCAGCCGCGGUAAUUC